UACGUAGGGAGCAAGCGUUGUCCGGAAUCAUUGGGCGUAAAGCGCGCGUAGGUGGCCUCAUAAGUCCGUUGUGAAAGUCAAAGGCUCAACCUUUGAAAGCCGAUGGAUACUGUGAGACUAGAGUACGGAAGAGGCGAGUGGAAUUCCUGGUGUAGCGGUGGAAUGCGCAGAUAUCAGGAGGAACACCGAUGGCGAAGGCAGGUCUCUGGGCCGAUACUGACGCUGAGGAGCGAAAGCGUGGGGAGCGAACAGG
rnacentral:rRNA from 1 species